UCUAUAGGCCAGACCACCCUCAAGUGCCCAGUCUCAUCUGAUCUUGGAAGCUUAAGCAGGGUCUGGUUCGUAUUUGGAUGGGAGAAGCUUGGUGGAGGCAUUCCUGCAGGC
rnacentral:rRNA from 1 species